UACGUAGGUGGCAAGCGUUGUCCGGAUUUACUGGGUGUAAAGGGCGUGCAGCCGGAGAGACAAGUCAGAUGUGAAAUCCACGGGCUCAACCCGUGAACUGCAUUUGAAACUGUUUCCCUUGAGUGUCGGAGAGGUAAUCGGAAUUCCUUGUGUAGCGGUGAAAUGCGUAGAUAUAAGGAAGAACACCAGUGGCGAAGGCGGAUUACUGGACGAUAACUGACGCUGAAGCACGAAAGCGUGGGGAUCGAACAGG
rnacentral:rRNA from 1 species